rnacentral:rRNA from 1 species
UACGAAGGGGGCAAGCGUUGUUCGGAAUUACUGGGCGUAAAGGGCGCGCAGGCGGCCGAUCAAGUCAGAUGUGAAAGCCCCGGGCUCAACCUGGGAAUUGCAUUUGGGACUGGUAGGCUAGAGAUCGGGAGAGGAGAGUGGAAUUCCCAGUGUAGAGGUGAAAUUCGUAGAUAUUCGGAAGAACACCAGUGGCGAAGGCGACUCACUGGCCCGAUACUGACGCUGAGGCGCGAAAGCGUGGGGAGCAAACAGG